rnacentral:rRNA from 1 species
AACGAACGCUGGCGGCAGGCCUAACACAUGCAAGUCGAACGCCCCGCAAGGGGAGUGGCAGACGGGUGAGUAACACGUGGGAACCUACCUUGUGGUACGGAACAACCAAGGGAAACUUUGGCUAAUACCGUAUGAGCCCGAGCGGGGAAAGAUUUAUCGCCAUAAGAUGGGCCCGCGUCGGAUUAGCUAGUUGGUGAGGUAAUGGCUCACCAAGGCGACGAGCCGUAGCUGGUCUGAGAGGAUGACCAGCCACACUGGGACUGAGACACGGCCCAGACUCCUACGGGAGGCAGCAGUGGGGAAUAUUGGACAAUGGGCGCAAGCCUGAUCCAGCCAUGCCGCGUGUGUGAUGAAGGCCUUAGGGUUGUAAAGCACUUUCGCCGAUGAAGAUAAUGACGGUAGUCGGAGAAGAAGCCCCGGCUAACUUCGUGCCAGCCGCCGCGGUAAGAC